rnacentral:SRP_RNA from 15 species
UGGAGUGGAGCACAUCUUCCUGCGCGUGGAGAACACCCCAGGCUGGAGCAGCACAUGGGACUUGCUGUCUCCCGGGGCGAGAUCUCGAAUCA